AUUGAUCUUUUUUCUCUCAUUUUCUCUUCUCCUCUAUUUUUUCCACUUCUCUCCUCUCUUCUUAUUUCUUCUGACCAAACAUGAGGUAAGAGUAUCAUUACUGUACCUAUAUAUAAAUUAAUUAACUUAAUAUUGGAUGAGUAAUAAUAUAGAUGCAAAUUAUUGUAUAAACUUUUUUUAUAUAAAUUGACGUGGCAUAAUUGAUUUUUUUUAUUAUUUUGUAUUU
rnacentral:lncRNA from 1 species